GAUGAACGCUGGCGGCGUGCUUAACACAUGCAAGUCGAACGGAAAGGCCCAAGCUUGCUUGUGUACUCGAGUGGCGAACGGGUGAGUAACACGUGGGUGUUCUGCCCUGCACUUCGGUAUAAGCCUGGGAAACUGGGCCUACUACCGGAUAGGACCACAUCUUGGAUUGUGUGGUGGAAAGCUUUUCGGUGUGGGAUGAGCUCGCGGCCUAUCUGCUGGUUGGUGGGUUAAUGGCCUACCAAGGCGCCGACGGGUAGCCGGCCUGAGAGAGUGUACGGCGACAGUGGGACUGAGAGACGGCCCAGACGCCGACGGGAGGCAGCAGUGGGGAAGAUUGAACAAGGGGCGCAAGCCUGAUGCAGCAGCGCCGCGUGGGGGAUGACGGCCUUCGGGUUGAAGACUACUUGCGCGAGGAACGAAGCGUUAUGUGACGGUACCUAGAGAAGAAGCACCGGCUAACUACGUG
rnacentral:rRNA from 1 species